rnacentral:tRNA from 1 species
UGGAUGGCGCUGUGGAUGACAUAGCCGGCCUGGUUGAUGCCCAGGCCCAGCGGGUCAUCGAUGAUCGUGCCGUCGACGUCCACC